rnacentral:lncRNA from 1 species
GCUUUUAAGGGGAACCAUGAAGUAAAGACACUGCGAUGAAGUACAGAUACAGAUUGUGAUGACACCGUGGAAGUGCAGUGGCCCUUGCGACUUAAAACUUGGUAUGGUAUAUCCAACAUUUGACUUCGAUGGAAACCACUCUGGCUACAGGAAAGAGCAACUUGAAUUAUACAUCUGAGUUAGAAUUCUCUGAAGAACUUUGGUGGUCUAGCUUUGCUCCUGCUGACUUCAUGCAAGUGGGUGAUAACUGGAAGAUCUUUGAAAAUACUGAACAAGCUUAUACCAGAAUCAUCUCCAGCGAGCUGUAA